UACGUAGGUGGCGAGCGUUGUCCGGAAUGACUGGGCGUAAAGGGCGUGUAGGCGGCCUGGUAAGCGGUGGGUGAAAGACCGGGGCUCAACUUCGGGGGUGCCCAUCGGACUGCCGGGCUUGAGUGGGUCAGAGGGCAGCGGAAUUCCCGGUGUAGCGGUGAAAUGCGUAGAGAUCGGGAGGAACACCAGUGGCGAAGGCGGCUGCCUGGGGCCCAACUGACGCUGAGGCGCGAAAGCUGGGGGAGCAAACAGG
rnacentral:rRNA from 1 species